GAUGAACGCUGGCGGCGUGCCUAAUACAUGCAAGUCGAGCGAACAGACGAGGAGCUUGCUCCUCUGACGUUAGCGGCGGACGGGUGAGUAACACGUGGAUAACCUACCUAUAAGACUGGGAUAACUUCGGGAAACCGGAGCUAAUACCGGAUAAUAUAUUGAACCGCAUGGUUCAAUAGUGAAAGACGGUUUUGCUGUCACUUAUAGAUGGAUCCGCGCCGCAUUAGCUAGUUGAUAAGGUAACGGCUUACCAAGGCAACGAUGCGUAGCCGACCUGAGAGGGUGAUCGGCCACACUGGAACUGAGACACGGUCCAGACUCCUACGGGAGGCAGCAGUAGGGAAUCUUCCGCAAUGGGCGAAAGCCUGACGGGGCAACGCCGCGUGAGUGAUGAAGGUCUUCGGAUCGUAAAACUCUGUUAUUAGGGAAGAACAAAUGUGUAAGUAACUAUGCACGUCUUGACGGUACCUAAUCAGAAAGCCACGGCUAACUACGUG
rnacentral:rRNA from 1 species